CGGACCGUAAUUCAAUUGGAUAGAAAGCAAGUCUUCGAAACUUGAGGUUGGGAGUUCGAAUCUCUCCGGUCCGACCA
rnacentral:tRNA from 1 species